UGCCGCUUUAGUGCCACACGGAGUAGUACAGUUUUUAGGGUUAAGGAGGUUGCGAACCUGGCAGCUCUGGAAUUUCGAUUUGCGACGACGCCGGUUCGGCCAUUAUUCUGUCAUCGUCACUCUGCUGUGUCGCAUGUACUGGUGUGCCACUCCUGUCCUGUGUUGGGACUGUGCGUCCGAUGUGUAUUUCUCGCUGUGUGUGUUGUGUGUGCUUAUACUCGUUUGGAUGCUAAGCCUAUCUCCCUGCUCUCCUCAUCGGAGCACUCAUCGCGCAUUUGUGUUUGUGUGCUGUAUGCUCGCAACGGACAAAUUGCUGCGUGCCGUUUUCCACACAUACACGUUGCAUGCCAAAAAAAUUCUCUGGACUACGUGCUCAAGCUCACGGGGCGAAAGGCGAUAACGUCAGAGGCGCAUAUCCUAUUAUAUGUCGUGGAAUUAAAAGGAAUACCAUUCAGUUGAAGGCUUACAUGCUUGUGCGACAUUAUGGAAAACGUUUAUUUUGGAUUGUUAUCUAAACCUUGGAUAUUUAACACACUCAUCAAUCUGUGGAAGCCUUGCAGUAGUAGUGGCGUUGCUAGAGGAGCUCUGCUUAUCAUAGCAUGCGUUCGGAGUGAGGGUAGUAGGUUGUAUAGUUUAGAACUACACCUAACGGGCGAACUAUACAGCUUGCUAACUUUCCUCGAGCCAUGCUUCUGUCGUCAUGGAGAACUUCACCUCCCACGACUCCACGAGGAGAGGACGGACG